rnacentral:lncRNA from 1 species
CGGGGUGCGCUAUGAGUACACCAUCCACAGGGAGGCAGAUGGCCACGGCCAGGUCGAGCCGCCCGAGUUCUCCUGGCGCUAUGGGCCCUGGACCAAGUGCACGGUCACCUGUGGCACAGGGUUGCAGAGGCAAAGCGUGUACUGCACUGAGCGACAGGCGGGGCCAGUGGACGAGAGACACUGCGNNNNNNNNNNNUGACCGCCAGAGGAAGUGCAGCGAGGAGCCCUGCCCGGCCCGGUGGUGGGCAGGGGAGUGGCAGCCGUGCUCCAGCUCCUGUGGGCCUGGGGGCCU